rnacentral:rRNA from 1 species
AUGAACGCUAGCUACAGGCUUAACACAUGCAAGUCGAGGGGAAACGACAUCGAAAGCUUGCUUUUGAUGGGCGUCGACCGGCGCACGGGUGAGUAACGCGUAUCCAACCUGCCCACCACUUGGGGAUAACCUUGCGAAAGUAAGACUAAUACCCAAUGAUAUCUCUAGAAGACAUCUGAAAGAGAUUAAAGAUUUAUCGGUGAUGGAUGGGGAUGCGUCUGAUUAGCUUGUUGGCGGGGUAACGGCCCACCAAGGCAACGAUCAGUAGGGGUUCUGAGAGGAAGGUCCCCCACAUUGGAACUGAGACACGGUCCAAACUCCUACGGGAGGCAGCAGUGAGGAAUAUUGGUCAAUGGGCGAGAGCCUGAACCAGCCAAGUAGCGUGCAGGAUGACGGCCCUAUGGGUUGUAAACUGCUUUUAUAAGGGAAUAAAGUGAGUCUCGUGAGACUUUUUGCAUGUACCUUAUGAAUAAGGACCGGCUAAUUCCGUGCCAGCAGCCGCGGUAAUACGGAAGGUCCGGGCGUUAUCCGGAUUUAUUGGGUUUAAAGGGAGCGUAGGCCGGAGAUUAAGCGUGUUGUGAAAUGUAGACGCUCAACGUCUGCACUGCAGCGCGAACUGGUUUCCUUGAGUACGCACAAAGUGGGCGGAAUUCGUGGUGUAGCGGUGAAAUGCUUAGAUAUCACGAAGAACUCCGAUUGCGAAGGCAGCUCACUGGAGCGCAACUGACGCUGAAGCUCGAAAGUGCGGGUAUCGAACAGGAUUAGAUACCCUGGUAGUCCGCACGGUAAACGAUGGAUGCCCGCUGUUGGUCUGAAUAGGUCAGCGGCCAAGCGAAAGCAUUAAGCAUCCCACCUGGGGAGUACGCCGGCAACGGUGCAACUCAAAGGAAUUGACGG